GAUGAACGCUGGCGGCGUGCCUAAUACAUGCAAGUCGAGCGAACGGACGAGAAGCUUGCUUCUCUGAUGUUAGCGGCGGACGGGUGAGUAACACGUGGAUAACCUACCUAUAAGACUGGGAUAACUUCGGGAAACCGGAGCUAAUACCGGAUAAUAUUUUGAACCGCAUGGUUCAAAAGUGAAAGACGGUCUUGCUGUCACUUAUAGAUGGAUCCGCGCUGCAUUAGCUAGUUGGUAGGGUAACGGCUUACCAAGGCAACGAUGCAUAGCCGACCUGAGAGGGUGAUCGGCCACACUGGAACUGAGACACGGUCCAGACUCCUACGGGAGGCAGCAGUAGGGAAUCUUACGCAAUGGGCGAAAGCCUGACGGAGCAACGCCGCGUGAGUGAUGAAGGUCUUCGGAUCGUAAAACUCUGUUAUUAGGGAAGAACAUAUGUGUAAGUAACUGUGCACAUCUUGACGGUACCUAAUCAGAAAGCCACGGCUAACUACGUG
rnacentral:rRNA from 1 species